UGAGGAAUAGUGGUCAAUGGGCGUGAGCCUGAACCAGCCAAGGAGCGUGCAGGAAGACGGCCCUAUGGGUUGUAAACUGCUUUUAUGCGGGGAUAAAGGAGUCCACGUGGGGAGUGUUGCAGGUACCGCAUGAAUAAGGACCGGGGAAUUCCGGGGCAGCAGCCGCGGUAAUACGGAAGGUCCGGGCGUUAUCCGGAUUUAUGGGGUUUAAAGGGAGCGUAGGCCGCGUUUUAAGCGUGUUGUGAAAUGUAGACGCCCAACGUCUGCAUCGCAGCGCGAACUGGGACGCUUGAGUACGCGCAACGUUGGCGGAAUUCGUCGUGUAGCGGUGAAAUGCUUAGAUAUGACGAGGAACUCCGAUUGCGAAGGCAGCUGACGGGAGCGGCACUGACGCUUAAGCUCGAAGGUGCGGGUAUCAAACAGG
rnacentral:rRNA from 1 species